GACCCUUCGGGGGAAAGAUUUAUCGGGAAAGGAUUGGCCCGCGUUGGAUUAACUAKUUGGUGGGGUAAAGGCCUACCAAGGCAACGAUCCAUAKCUGGUCUGAGAGGAUGAUCCCACUUGGGACUGAKACACGGCCCAACUCCUACGGGAGGCAGCAGUGGGGAAUAUUGGACAAUGGGCGCAACCUGAUCCACCAUGCCGCGUGAGUGAUGAAUGUCUUAGAUUGUAAAGCUCUUUCACCGGAGAAGAUAUGACGGUAUCCGGAKAAAAAGCCCCGGCUAACUUCGUGCCAGCAGCCGCGGUAAUACRAAGGGGGCUAGCGUUGUUCGGAAUUACUGGGCGUAAAGCGCACGUAGGCGGAUAUUUUAGUCAGGGGUGAAAUCCCAGAGCUCAACUCUGGAACUGCCUUUGAUACUGGGUAUCUUGAGUAUGGAAGAGGUAAGUGGAAUUGCGASUGYCAGGUGAAAUUCGUKGAUAUUCGCWGAACACCAGUGGCGAAAGCRSCUUACUGGUCCAUUACUGACGCUGAWGUGCAGAGCGUGGGGAKCAAACAAGAUUAUAUACCCUGGUASUCCACCCGUAAACGAUGAAUGUUACCGUCGGCAAGUUUACUUGUCRGUGKCGCAGCUAACGCAUUAAACAUUCCGCCUGGGGAGUACCGUCGAAKAUUAAAAYUCKAGGAAGUGMCGGCGGCCCCACAAGCGGCGGAGAUGSGRGUGARUUAGAAWAACMAGAAAAACAAYCCCACCCCUUGCCAUAWCGRCUCGCCAAAAAAUGWGUUUUACUUCCUGCACGGUAAGAACUUCUGC
rnacentral:rRNA from 1 species